GCUGUAUAUGUGAGUUGAUUUGUUUUCCCAGAUCAGUGGAUGGCCUUAGGUACCAUGUUGUUAUUCUACUUUUUGGUGUCCUCUGAGGACGGUAGGAGCAUCAUAGAAUGUUACAGAUGGGAGCUGUCUAUGGGAUCAGAUGAACCAAUGCUUUUAAAAAACACAAUGUGUAACUGUAAAGCUCCAAUUUCAAAUGAAAUCCUCAACGUAUAAAACAGAUAAAAGCAGAGCUACUCUGGUUGAUGGAGGCUCUGAAUUUCCUCGUACCGCCCAGGUGGCGCCGGGGCUCCACAGCCUCUGAUUUCCUCUAGAUGAGGGAACUGAGACUUGGAGAUCAAAUCAGUUGCCCAGCACUUUGGUGGAAGAAUGAGCUGUCAUUGCUUUGAAGCUUUGACAUCACUAGAGGAGAUGUGUGUGGAGACCGCUGGUAGUAAAGCCCAAACAGAGCACAAGGACACCACUGCUUCACCCUGUGGCCUUGCAGGUUGGGUUCUCUGGAGGCCAACAUGGAGCUGGACUUGGCCAUGAAGGAUGUUUACUAGAGAUUAAGCCUGUAGAAAUGAGGAGGAGGAUGCAGGAUUAUAUAGAGGAAAAUGUCAAACUGCCAAACAGGCCCGACAAAGCCUCCGUCAACCCCACAGGGAAGCUCUGGAGCAUAAAUGGCCAUAUUGGUGACCUGUAUUGGACUUAAUGGCUGGACCCUUGAACCCCCAUCAACCAUUGAAUGUGGGUCACCCUGGGAAGGACAUACUCUUGGGUGAAGUGGCUUUCUGCAGCUGAGGCAAAUCCUAAAAGAGCUGACAGCUGGAGGCUGACUGCCCACAGCUGGGGCAAGAAGACCUCCCUUGAAGAAAGAUCUAGAAAGCACACCUCCACGUCCAGUACCCAUGGCCACUAGUGUUCUGGUGAACACAAGAGAUAGUGGAGAGGCAGGCGGUGGCAGCAGCUUUCCCAGCUGUCUGCCAGGCCACUUCAGACUGCUCAUUAGAGUCCCAACUCCAUAGUACUGGGUAUGAUGCUUGCUGAAUAAAUGUUUUGACAAAUAGACCAGUCCUUAAGAUAGCUUCUCCUUUGUGUUUUAAGAUGGAAUUCAUUUCCAUCUCUGUUUCACCAAGUUUCACAUUCGGGGCUUCCCUGGUGGCGCCGUGGUUGAGAGUCCGCCUGCCGAUGCAGGGGACACGGGUUCGUUCCCCAGUCCGGGAAGAUCCCACAUGCCGCGGAGCGGCUGGGCCUGUGAGCCAUGGCCGCUGAGCCUGCGUGUCCAGAGCCUGCGCUCCGCAACGGGAGAGGCCACAACAGUGAGAGGCCCGCGUACUGC
rnacentral:lncRNA from 1 species